rnacentral:rRNA from 1 species
AAUGAACGCUGGCGGCAGGCCUAACACAUGCAAGUCGAACGAGUGGCGGACGGGUGAGUAAUGUCUGGGAAACUGCCUGAUGGAGGGGGAUAACUACUGGAACCGGUAGCUAAUACCGCAUACCAUCAGAUGUGCCCAGAUGGGAUUGGCUUGUUGGUGGGGUAAAGGCUCACCAGGGCGACGUUCCCUAGCUGGUCUGAGAGGAUGACCGGCCCCACUGUAACUGAGCCACGGUCCAGACUCCUAGGGUAGGCAGCAGUGGGAAAUAUUGCACAAGGGUCGCAAGCCUGAUGCAGCCAUGCGGCGUGGAUGAAGAAGGCCUUCGGGUUGUAAAGUACUUUCAUCGGGGAGGCGUUACCCGCAGAAGAAGCACCGGCUAACUCCGUGCCAGCAGCCGCGGUAAUUC